rnacentral:rRNA from 1 species
AGAGUUUGAUCCUGGCUCAGAACGAACGCUGGCGGCAGGCCUAACACAUGCAAGUCGAACGCUGUAGCAAUACAGAGUGGCAGACGGGUGAGUAACGCGUGGGAACCUUCCCAGUGGUGCGGAAUAGCUCAGGGAAACUUGAGGUAAUACCGCAUAAGCCCUUAGGGGGAAAGAUUUAUCGCCAUUGGAUGGGCCCGCGUCGGAUUAGCUAGUUGGUGAGGUAAUGGCUCACCAAGGCAACGAUCCGUAGCUGGUUUGAGAGAAUGACCAGCCACACUGGGACUGAGACACGGCCCAGACUCCUACGGGAGGCAGCAGUGGGGAAUCUUGGACAAUGGGCGCAAGCCUGAUCCAGCCAUGCCGCGUGAGUGACGAAGGCCUUAGGGUUGUAAAGCUCUUUUGCCGGGGACGAUGAUGACGGUACCCGCAGAAGAGC